ensembl:lncRNA
GCUGUUACAUGAGCAACAGCCUCUCCUCUGUUUUUCUCUUCUGCUGGUCUAUGGGCCUGACUUGCUGUUUUGCAGGCGAAAGUACAACAGUUCAAAAACCUCGGAGAACAACAGCACUAUCCCCCUGCGAAGAUGUAGAGGAGGUGUGUGCAAGCAGAACACACAGAUCCCGGUGGAGGAACUGCUGGAGGCUCUGAAGAGGUUUAAGAGGGCAGAAAUAGAGGCAGAGCAGACAGAAGAUGAAUCAGUCGACCGGCAUGGUGCUGGACGUCUGAGAGAGUAUCAGCAACUGUCCUCCACUUUGUUGCAUCCCUGCGAUGCCGGGAAGGAGCUAUGUAAUCAGAGCAAGAACCGCUACAAGAGCAUCAUCCCAUGUAAGCAGAGCUCUCCAGGGGCUGGCACAGGCACUUGGAGGUGGUUGGGCUGUACAGUGUGCU